AAAUAAGCCUCCGCCCGGCUUCGUUGCAUCCACGCACGCAGCAAGCGAUCGGAUUUCGCCAGCAUGGCGGCGGCGGCCGUGGUGUUCGACGCCGAGGCGCUGAGCCGGGAGGAGCACAUCCCGGCGCAGUUCGUGUGGCCCACCGAGGAGCGGGCGCCGGCGGGCGGCGUGGAGGAGGUCGCCAUCCCCGUGGUCGACCUCGGCGAGUUCCUCCGCCGCGGGGUGCUCCCGCGCGGCGUGGCGGAGGCGUGCGAGCGCCACGGCGUCUUCCAGGUGGUGAACCACGGCGUGGGCGCCGCGCUGCUCGCCGAGGCCUACCGCUGUUGCGACGCCUUUUACGCGCUCCCGCUCGCGGACAAGCAGCGCGCGCAGCGCCGGCACGGGGAGAACCACGGCUACGCCAGCAGCUUCACGGGCCGCUUCCACUGCUGCCUGCCGUGGAAGGAGACGCUGUCCUUCAACUGCCCCGCCGGUGCCGGGACUGCGCGCGCCGUCGUCGGCUACUUCGUCGACGUCCUCGGCGAGGACUACCGCCACAUGGGGGAGGUGUACCAGGAGUACUGCGACGCGAUGACGCGUCUGGCGCUGGACGUGACGGAGGUGCUGGCGGCAGCGCUGGGGCUGGACCGCGGCGCACUGCGCGGCUUCUUCGAGGGCGGCGACUCCGUCAUGCGGCUGAACCACUACCCGGCGUGCCGGCAGCCGCACCUGACGCUGGGGACGGGCCCGCACCGGGACCCGACGUCGCUGACGCUGCUGCACCAGGACGACGUGGGCGGGCUGCAGGUGCGCGCCGGCGGCGGGCCGUGGCGCGCGGUGCGGCCCCGCGCGGACGCGUUCGUGGUCAACAUUGGCGACACCUUCGCCGCGCUCACCGACGGGCGUCACACCAGCUGCCUGCACCGCGCCGUGGUGACCGGCGGCGGCUCCCGCCGGUCGCUCGCCUUCUUCCUCAACCCGCCGCUGGACCGCGUCGUCCGCCCGCCGGGCGCGCUCCUCCAGGAGAACAAGCAGGCGGGCCGCCCGCGCGCGUUCCCGGACUUCACGUGGCGCGAGUUCCUCGAGUUCACGCAGAAGCACUACCGGUCGGACGCGGGCACCAUGGACGCCUUCGUGUCGUGGAUCGCGGGAGGCCGCCGCCACCAUGGCGGACAGGAGGAGGGCAACUGAGAUCGAUGCAUCUCUAGCUGUAGGCAGCAGCGCAGCAGCUACCAAGAAUAAUGGCCGGCGACGGAGAUGCAGCUACGACGCACAAAUAAAUUGAGUGUUUGUGGUACAAUAAGGACGAGGACGAUCAAUGGCGACCUGUAACCGGUGCAGUUUUAGUUAAUCUUUCAUGGCGAUAUGGCAUUAACCAAUCGUUGGUGUAAAAUGCGUGCAUGCUUUGCAUGCCAAUGUUGGCCAUGUGAUGGCACAGCGUGAGUGUAGCUCACCCACCGUGACAACGUGCUAAUUUCGUGUGGUCCUAGAUACCAAGGUCGUCUAAUGAACUUGAUGGAUUGAUGAUUU
rnacentral:misc_RNA from 1 species